rnacentral:rRNA from 1 species
AUUGAACGCUGGCGGAAUGCUUCACACAUGCAAGUCGAACGGCAGCACGGACUUCGGUCUGGUGGCGAGUGGCGAACGGGUGAGUAAUAUAUCGGAACGUGCCCAGUCGUGGGGGAUAACGUAGUGAAAAUUACGCUAAUACCGCAUACGAUCUAUGGAUGAAAGCGGGGGAUCGCAAGACCUCGCGCGAUUGGAGCGGCCGAUAUCAGAUUAGGUAGUUGGUGAGGUAAAGGCUCACCAAGCCGACGAUCUGUAGCUGGUCUGAGAGGACGACAAGCCACACUGGAACUGAGACACGGUCCAGACUCCUACGGGAGGCAGCAGUGGGGAAUUUUGGACAAUGGACGCAAGUCUGAUCCAGCCAUUCCGCGUGCAGGACGAAGGCCUUCGGGUUGUAAACUGCUUUUGUACAGAACGAAAAGGUCUCUAUUAAUACUAGGGGCUCAUGACGGUACUGUAAGAAUAAGCACCGGCUAACUACGUGCCAGCAGCCGCGGUAA